UGCAGGCGGAGACGAGGUGCGGCCAGUGUUGUUAGUUUUGUGGAUUUUGGGGAGGAAGUAAAUAGUAGGGGUGCGUGGGGUUCGGACAAUGAGGUUGGAGGCGGUGGGGGGCAGACGGGAGGAGGAGAUGAGGUCAUGGAUAGUGGAGGACACCGUCUGUUGGCUUUGAACAUCA